rfam:Tupaia chinensis contig211128, whole genome shotgun sequence.
GUGCUCACUUCAGCACCACAUAUACUAAAAUUGGAACGAUAGAGAGAUUAGCAUAGCCCCUGUGCAAGGAUGACAUGCAAAUAUGUGAAGCAUUCCAUAUUUUU